rnacentral:rRNA from 1 species
UACGAAGGGGGCUAGCGUUGCUCGGAAUCACUGGGCGUAAAGCGCACGUAGGCGGAUUGUUAAGUCAGGGGUGAAAUCCUGGAGCUCAACUCCAGAACUGCCUUUGAUACUGGCGAUCUCGAGUCCGGGAGAGGUGAGUGGAACUGCGAGUGUAGAGGUGAAAUUCGUAGAUAUUCGCAAGAACACCAGUGGCGAAGGCGGCUCACUGGCCCGGUACUGACGCUGAGGUGCGGAAAGCGUGGGAGCAACAGGG